CAGGUUUCCCGCGGUUAGACGGAAAGACCCCGUGCACCUUUACUACAACUUCACACUGGCAUUAGGCCGAACAUGUGCAGGAUAGGUGGUGGGCUUUGAAGCGUGAACGCCAGUUUGCGUGGAGCCUCCCUUGAGAUACCACCCUUGUUCUGCUUGAUGUCUAACCGCGGUCCGUUAUCCGGAUCCGGGACCCUGUGUGGUGGGUAGUUUGACUGGGGCGG
rnacentral:rRNA from 1 species